rnacentral:lncRNA from 1 species
AUGUUACAAAUCGAACUAACACUGCUGCUUUGCUUUGCUUUGCUUUCUAACCUGUCCAUCCUGAAACUCCGCCCACACCAGCAGGCUCCUCCUCCCAAUCCCCCAUCUAGCGGAACCACACCCCGCAAAAGAAAAGCCCCUCCUCCUCCUAAGUCUCCUGCUCAGGGCCCGCCCCCUUCCUCAGAUGCCUCAAGCACACCACCUCCCCCUGUCCCCACCCAAUCACCUGACUCACAGAGCCCACCCCACCUUCUCCUGCUCCCAGGACCCAAAUUCUCCCAUCUGAGAACCUUGUGAGUGACAACAAAUAUGAAAAACUUUUUGCUUUGUUACCGCAAUUUGCUCAACAUAACCCAUUGUCACCAGUGACAGUUCAUUAUAAUAAUGUAAGCAUUUAGUCAUUUGAAAUAAUCACAUACACCAUUUCUACGUUGCAAUGUGUGUUUCUGUCAGGUGGAGGAUGAGGAAGUCUUUGAAGAGAUCCGUAAGCUCAGGCUGGAGAGAGGUCGCCUGCUGCAGAAAAUCAAGGUUCUGGAGCAGCAGCAGAGCAGCGCCACCACUGCCCUGGAGGAGGUAUUGCACUCCUUUAACUAUAAAUAAACUUAAUGGCAAUUUCCACUGAAAGGGAACAAAAUGGGGUUUGAAAGUAGUACUUUUGAUUGUGCCGAUUCUCAAAUUUAGGAGUCCAAAAAAAGAUCUGAGUUGUGUUUAGAUGAAUAUGUAAAUAUGUGCUGCACUCGUUCCUCUCAAUAACAGAAAAAAACACACAACAAUGAGCAUUUUGGUUGAAAUAUGUCACCAGUUUGUUCUUCCUUUGAAGUAUAUCAGGGCCUUAAAGGGACAGCUCACCCAAAAAUAAAAUUGUGUCAUCAUUUACUCACCCUCAUGUUGUUCCAAACCUACAGUAUAUAAGUUUAUUUCUUCUGCUGUAGACAAAAAGAAGAUAUUUUAAUAUUUUUUUCAUAUUAUGGAAGUCAGUGGCUACCAGCAACUGUUUGGUUACCAACAUUAUUAAAAAUAUCUUCUUUUGUGUUCAACAAAAGAAAGAAACUCAUACAGGUUUGGAACAAGUGGAGGUUGAGUAAAUGAUGGAAUUUUCAUUCUGGAAGUGAAAAUGAGCUAAUACACUCCAUUUAUAUUAGUACAAUUUUUUACUACAAUUUACAAAAUUUUACCAAAGUUAACUACAUAGUUUUCUGUUGUUAGUGUAACAUUGUUAAAACUAUGAUUAGGCAUGCUUUGCAUGAGAUUGGGUGGGAAGGGAAAAAGUAGAAAAAAUAAAAGUAAUCAUGAAAUUAAAAUGGACAAUUCUU